AGACGUCGCGUACGGUGUUGGUGAUAAUACGGGUUUUGCUUUCCAGUUCGCCUUUAUUGCAUUUGUUAGAAGUUUCGGAAUUGAUAACUAUAUAAAUGUAUAUAUCAAAAUGUGCGUAAUUAAAAGUAGAAAUGGAAUAUGCCUUAAAAUCAAUACUUUUAUUCAUUUUGUUACUCGAAUGAUCCCUAAUAACACUGAUUUUGAGCGUGUAGACAAGUAACACCGCGACAUAUGAUCAGCGUUGCUUUGAAGUUAUUCUUGUCAUUUUUUAAACUUAUUAAAAAAAAGUUGUACUCCUAGCAAGAGUAGUCUUUGGUGUUAAUGGUGUAUGUUUUAUUUAUGACGUCAUCGUUAACUGGACGCGUCUGACCAGGACGAAAAGUUCACUUUGUUUUGUGGUCAAGCCGAAAAUUGAAAAAAAAUAUGGAUAGGGGUGAAGUUAAGAGUGAUUUUAAAAGGUAAUUCAAAUAGAUUAUUCCGAAAAUGAUAUAUCUUUUUAUUCCGUAUAUAAUAAGGAAAAAAAAUAAAAAGUUUUGUUACAACAUUUCAAAAGAUCGUGGCAGAAUUAAUGAUUUUUUUGAAAUUUGUAUUUCUGUCACAAAACCCAAAUCUCGCAUAUUUUUUGGAGCUCUUCAAAAUUCGAACGAAUGCUGCAGAUCCAAACCACAAUUUACAUAUCCACCCUUCCUGUGUCAAAAUUAUACAAUAAAUAUACAACUUUCUAUGUCUUCAAUUAGUAAGUAUUGUUUAAAUUAUGUCCUAAAUUGUUCAUUUUAUUAAAUCCGUUGAAAUGUCACACUCGCCGUUUUCUGACGUUUUGGCGUAUUUGUUAAGUGUCUUAUGAAAAGUAAUAGGCAGUUGCAGUCUUUUCUACGAUAUGAAAUUUUAUUCAAACGUGAAAACUUUUUUUUUAAGUGUAUGAAAAAAAAUUGUGUCGAAGUUUUAAGAGAAAAUAUUGAAAAAAAAUAAACGCGAUCUUUUUGUUUUUGUCUAGUCAAAAUGUCACAAAACGCCGUUUUUUACAUUUUUGUUACAAGUAUGAUAAGUC
rnacentral:lncRNA from 1 species